rnacentral:rRNA from 1 species
GUAGUUGGCAAGCGUUGUCCGGAAUUAUUGGGCGUAAAGCGCGCGCAGGUGGUUCUUUAAGUCUGAUGUGAAAGCCCCCGGCUCAACCGGGGAGGGUCAUUGGAAACUGGGGAGCUUGAGUGCAGGAGAGGAAAGUGGAAUUCCACGUGUAGCGGUGAAAUGCGUAGAUAUGUGGAGGAACACCAGUGGCGAAGGCGACUUUCUGGCCUGUAACUGACACUGAGGCGCGAAAGCGUGGGGAGCAAACAGGGAUUAGAUACCCUGGUAGUCCACGCCGUAAACGAUGAGUGCUAAGUGUUGGGGGGGUUUCCCGCCCCUCAGUGCUGCAGCUAACGCAUUAAGCACUCCGCCUGGGGAUACGGUCGCAAGACUG